AAAAGAUUGCUCUAUAUGGCUAAAUAGUCACAUUGUGAUUUCAGUGAAAGCUGAUAAAUACAGAGGGCUGGACAGUGGUUUCAUUCAUUAGGUAAAGAGGUGGGACAAGGAUGCUGACAGGACAGGAGGAGGUGACAUUCAGCUGAAUUUCUCAUAGGUGGAUAAAGUAUGACAGCAAUUGUGAAGACCUUAGACGUGCAGUAUAUGGUUCUUCUCUCUUUCAUUUAUAUUGAUUUGACUUAAUUUUCUUGGUACUAAUAAUGGGGAUAUUCCUAAUAUAAUAUAUUUUAAAUACAUGCUUAGAACAUAUCUCAUUUGCUCAUUUGCUUUGUAUCUAAAUGAAAAGUACCUCUUUAAGGUCUAAGCUAUGUUUCAUUUUAUUUAGACAUUCAACGCAGACAUUUUCAUCCAAAGCAACUUGAGGAAGAAAACAGAAGCAGUUCAUCCUAAAAGUGGGCUGCUGUAAUGUUUACAUCUAUGGAAAGAGGAGCUGAGAAGAAAAGAUAGGCUGGAAAGCAGUACUUCUUGUUGAGGACAAUCCUGAAUAGGAACACUUUCUCAUACACAUAGAUUAUUAUUAGUGCUUGAUUGUUUGUUUCAUUUUUAUGAAUUGUAUUGUUUUAAUUUUUCGUUUUAUUUGAAAUUACCUAAGUUAGAUUCAUGCUAAUACUUUAACUGGAACUUGUAUCUUUGCUGGCUGGCUGGCUUUAGAGUUGGUUUCACAUACACAUGAAGUUUCUAAUUAACUAACUUUUAAGUUCAGUUUGGUUUAAACUUGUAUUUACCCAUGGUAAUUCAUUUAAAUUUCUAUUCAUGCUUAUAUAUUAAUUUCAAUGAACUUCUGUAUUUGUGUAUAGCUGGCAAUUUGGGCAAGCUACGUUUAACACACAAAUGUAACUGUCACAAAGGUUUUUUUUAUUAUCAGUUUGUUCUAAACUUUUGUUUGUUUACUAAGGAUGAAAUUGCUUUGUAAUUUAAGUUGUUGGUAGAUUCAUGCCAAUAAUGUAUUUGAACAAACUAGUAUUUUUGUUUAUUGCUGGCAGUUUAUACUAGAAGAGUUUUAACACAUACAAUGUUUUAGUGUUAUUGACUUGUGUGCUAUUAAUUAAU